rnacentral:tRNA from 1 species
CAAGACAUAUUUUAAAGUAGAAUUCUGGCUUUGGGUGUCAGAGGUAGAGGUUGAAGUCCUUUUGUUUUGA